UAUCCCAUACAAGAAAUCUGCAUGUACUUUUUUAUAAUGUUUUAUGGAUCAGUGACAUGUUUUAUUGUUGCCAGAAAUAAAUGUAUUGUAAAAUAAAGGUAUAUCAAGUAAGGAGUUGUGCAGAAAGUAAUCAAGGCUGAAUAUAUACCAUUACAAAAAUAAGAAAUGUCAUAUAGAACUCAAAAUGCGUAAACAGUACAGGCAUUUAAGUUGUACAUAAUCGAAAGAGGUCUAUUUAAAAAUGCUUACGCCUAUGUCCAUAUACUCAAUGCAUUGGAAAACAAUUAAUUACAUUUACCAAGCAUAAGCUGACAUUCUAAAACGAUUAUGGGUGAGAUUUUUAUAAAGACUCAGCUCCGGACUAAUAGAUUUUUUUCUUUUGUUAUCUGAAUUAAUCCUUUAAUGUGAUCGAGAACUUAAGGAGGAAUACGACAUCGUCAUAAUUGCUGACUUCCUUUUGGAACUUGAAUAAAAAUGUAAAUACAUUGUAUCAGCAAUACAUGUGUAUUCUUUUUACAUCUAAUCGUUCAGUAGGUUUACAUGUUGACUACUGAUCUGUAAAUUUCAUGCGUUCGAGUCUAGCAGGAUGUUUAAGGAUUUCUCUUGUGUAUAAUUCCUCUUAAUCAUGGAUAACGAUGAUGAAGGAGGGGAGUCAAUUCGAGCGAACAAGCGUGUAACAAUCGAGAACAGACACACAUCGAACUGCAGAGGAGGUAAUGUGAACAGGAAAAACAAAGUAGACGCCAUGGAUGAGCGAUACAUCACGGAAACUUAUUGAUGAAAGGGCCAACAUGUAUAGGAAACUAAUACAAACCAAAUCAGAGAGACUGAAAGCGCAAAUAAAACAACAGAUAAGAAACUGUUAGGACCAACAAGAGACAAUGGGUCAAGAACAUCUUAACUGAGACAGAAGAAGCUAAGAGAAUACAACAUAUGAAAACUAUAUGAUACAGCAUCAAAGUAUCCAGCAAUUAAAACAAAGUAUUGGCAUUCUUGACGAAAAUGAAGAUCUUAUCACAAGUAAUAAAAAAACAAGAAAGGUGGAAACUUUUCAACACUUUAAACGAUCAUUCUUCACGAUAAAUUAAAGACUAGACUUGUUGACACCAUAGACAGUUGCUCCUUCAACAAAAAUAGGAAAAGGAAAUAUUCGUAUCUAGUGAUCAGUCUUCCAAAAACUUACUUUGUUAAACACCACUCUGAUUCCACGCACAAGUACUCUGAAGUUGAAAUAAAAAAUAUGCUAGAGUUCCUCAUCGACAAUAUCUUCGUAGUCCUUAGAGGUCUUUCAACAGUCUGUAUUUUGUAGAAUAUGCAGGACUAUAGAAAGCAAUCCAACAAAGACAAGUUCUUAUACAAGACAAUAUAAGAACUACAAAAUCACUUUUGCCUAUUAUUCCCUCUACUAUUUCAAUAUAUUUCAAAGAUAAAAAAAGGUUGUAAAGAUAUGUUUUAGCAAUUUUUUUUUGUGGAAAAUUUGCUAAUAAGAAUAUACACAAGGUGGAAAAUUUGAUAAUUCUGAUGAUAAAGGAAUAUAUUUAUAUCAGUAAAUUCUCAAGUAUAAGCAAAUUAAGUAUAGAAGCAUCCAAAAAAAAAUUAUCAUUGAUAGAAUUACAGUUGAAAAACUUUUGUUGUUGAAAAACUGCAGGUAUAGGGAGUUUGAGAGAUACUGGCAAAAUAUUUAUGAUAAAUUAUGAUUGUAUUAGUGUAUUAAAAAGUUUUUUUUUAAAACCUAAGAUUGUGUUCCAUGCCCCGCUUUGUUUUAUGUGUUCUUUCUUUCUUUCUCUCUCUCUUUCUUUAUAUUUAUGAAAAUGUCUUUUGCAUAUAAAUAUUGAUGGUAUUAUUGUGUAGUUAAAUUACAUAUAUGUAUAUAAUGUAAAAGUCAAAUAAAAAAUCAAACAAUAAAAAAAA